AUGCAAAAGAAGAAAGAUGUGGAUAAUGAUAUUGUUAAAUUGAAGCUAUUUCCUUUUUCGCUUAGAGAUCGUGCUAAAACUUGGUUUUCGUCUUUGCCUAAAAAUAGUAUUGAUUCAUGGAAUAAGUGCAAAGAUGCUUUUAUCUCUAAGUAUUUUCCUCCUGUUAAGAUCAUCUCUCUUAGAAACAAUAUUAUGAAUUUUAAGCAACUUGAUCAUGAAUAUGUUGCACAAGCUUGGGAGAGGAUGAAAUCAAUGAUACGUAGUUUCCCUAGACAUGGUUUGAAUUUAUGGAUGAUUAUACAAAAAAUUUAUGCCGGACUGAAUUUUGCUUCUAGAAAUCUUUUAGAUUCGGCCGCGGGAGGCACUUUCAUGGAAAUCACUUUAGGAGAAGCUACUAAACUCCUAUAUAAUAUUAUGGUUAAUUAUUCUCAAUGGCACACUGAAAGAUCUACUAGUAAAAAGGUGCAUGCAAUUGAAGAGAUUAAUGUUUUGAGUAGAAAGAUGGAUGAACUUAUGAAAUUGUUUGUGAAUUUUGUUGGUAGGAACAAUUUUCGUAACAACGCUUAUAGAGGAAACUUUAAUCCUAGGCCGUAG
rnacentral:rRNA from 1 species